CACGUAGGGUGCGAGCGUUGUCCGGAAUUAUUGGGCGUAAAGGGCUCGUAGGCGGUUUGUCGCGUCGGGAGUGAAAACCUCGGGCUUAACUCGGGGCUUGCUUUCGAUACGGGCAGACUAGAGGUAUGCAGGGGAGAACGGAAUUCCUGGUGUAGCGGUGAAAUGCGCAGAUAUCAGGAGGAACACCGGUGGCGAAGGCGGUUCUCUGGGCAUGAUCUGACGCUGAGGAGCGAAAGUGUGGGUAGCAAACAGG
rnacentral:rRNA from 1 species